rnacentral:lncRNA from 1 species
AAGCCUCCACUUCGACCACCCCGCUCCUAUACGGUGAGUGACAUCCCCGUCUAUCUCUCCAUCGCCCUAAAUCACCGACCCAAGAUAUCUGAAACUGUCCUUAUUGGCGAUGACCUGGGAUCCAAUCUUCACUUCCCUGCCUACUUUGGUCGGCUCGGCGCUAAACCUGCACUCCGGGUAUUCUGUCUUAGAUGUGCUUAUUUUGGAACUCUUAGACUCGAGAGUCUGUCUCCAUACCUCUAGCCUCUCAUUAACACCGACCCUCAUCUCGUCUAUCAAGACUAUGUCAUCCGCAAAUAGCAUACAUCAAGGCGCAUCCCCUUGAAUAUGACGUGUUAGAGCAUCCAUCACCAAGGCAAACAAGAGAGGGCUAAGCGCCGAUCCUUGAUGGAGCCCCAUAACCACUGGAAAAUGGUCUGAGUCGCCNNNNNNNNNNCUAUGUCAUCGGUAAAUAGCAUACACCAAGGCGCAUCCCCUUGAAUAUGACGUGUUAGAGCAUCCAUCACCAAGGCAAACAAGAGAGGGCUAAGCGCCGAUCCUUGAUGGAGCCCCAUAACCACCGAACUGAGUCACCACCCACCGUUCUAACCCUAGUCUUACCUCCAUCGUACGUGUCCUUAAUAACUCUGAUGUAGGCUUCCGGCAUGCUCUUCGCCUCUAGGCACCUCCAUAGCACCUCAUUUGGGACCUUGUCAUAUGCUUUCUCCAAAUCGAUAAACACCAUGUGCAGGUCCUUUUUCUUAUCCCUGAACUGUUCCACCAAUACUAAUUUGAUACCCCUAUAGUUGUUGCAAUACUAGAUAUCCCCUUUGCUCUUGUACAAGGGCACCACUGUACUCCACCUCCACUCAUCCGGCAUCAUUUGGUCCUGAAGAUCUCAUUGAACAAUCUGGAGAGCCACUCCACUCCUGAUCUGCCCAUGCAUCUCUAGAAUUCCACCGGGAUCUCAUCAGGCCCGGUCGCUCGAGCCCUACUCAUUCUAUGCAAAGCCCCAACGACCUCAUCCACCCAAAUGCGCCUGCAGUACCCAAGAUCUCUAUGUUGCUCUGAAUGCCCUAGCUCCCCUAGCUCUAUGCUACGACCCCCUUCCUCGUUAAGUAGGUCUCGAAAGUACACAUGCCACCUCUGCUUCACUUGAGACUCUCCCAUCAUAACUCUACCAUCCUCGUCCUUCAUGCACCUAACUAGGUCAAGAUCCCGCGCCUUCCCCUCCCUUACUUUAGCUAACCGGAAUAGUCCCCUCCUUUCUCCCCUAAUUCCUCGUACAUGCGACCAAAUGCUGUGUUCUUAGCUUCCGUAACCUCCAGCUUCGCUUCCUUCCUCGCCACCUUGUAGAUCUCCCUAUUCGCUCUCCUUUCUUGCUCGCUUGUGCUCCCUGACAACUUAGCAAACAUCGCUUUCUUCACCUCCACUUUUUUUUGGACUACAUCGUUCCACCACCAGUCACCCUGAUAUCUACCUGAAUAGCCCUUGGCUAACCCGAGCACAUCCCGUGCUACCUCCUUCAGCAUGUUCGACGUCUCUGACCACAUUGUGUCUGCUUCCCCAGAAUUUCUCCAAGCUCCACCAUCAACUAACCUCCUCUCCAACUCCUGGGUUUCUCCUUAGUCAAAGCACCCCAUCUAAUCCGCGGUCGUCCCCGAGCACCCCUCCUCUUCCUCUUCACCCAGAGACCGACAUCCAUCACUAGGAGUCUAUGAAGAGUAGAAAGGGACUCUCCCGGGAUAACCUUGCAGUCCUUGCA